UUUUAGUAUAUAAAGUUGUAAUAUUAAGGAAAUCUGGAUGAUUCUGAGACUCCAUUUGUAUGAAGAACUUCAAGCAAUUAGUUGUGAGGUGAAAAACAGAAUCAAUCAUCUGGUGACUUAGUAUUCCUUGACUAUUGUUUUGGUAUCAUUUAAACUUAACGAUUAUAGCUCUGCAAAUAAAACCAAAAUUUCUCAUGACAGGAGUUCUGUACUAAAACCUCCUAACCUUGAUAAUUUAGAAAAUGAAGAGUCUUCCUAUAUUUAUAUUAAAAGAUGAAUAUUCAUAAUAUCAAUAUGAAAGCUGGACAAAAUGAAGGAGCCCUUAAAUUUCAACUAUGCACAUGAGUCCAAGGCUCAACAAGUGAACAGCAGAUAACAGUAUCUCUUCCAUAAGCUGUGGCUGUAGGUGACUGUUUAUUAAAUCACAGUUGAGCUUUGAGGUACCAGGAGGAAAAGGAGGAGGAGGAAGAGAAAAGAAAGAGAAAAAUAAGGAAGAUAAGCAGGAGGGAAGGGAGAGGGAGAAACGAAGGGUGGUAGUAAGUAAGGAGAGAGAGAAGGAGGAAGAAGGAAUGAAGGAAGGAAAGAAAAUGAAGGGGGGAAAGGAAUGAAUGAAAAAAAGAAGAGAAAUCUCGACUUUUACUUCUAAUGACUCUAAGGCCAAUACAUAAAGGAAAAAAAUACCAUUUGGAAGAGUUGUCAUAAAUAUGACAAGAAAGAUUUCUUCCCCAAUACUCCAUAAAACAAACCUCCCUACCAUCCACCACCUUCAGUAACUACUCUUAAAGCACCAAUGACAGAUGGGGAGUCAGAGAAUAUUCCAGACUCAGAGCGUAAAGGUUUACAGCUAAAGGACAAUUUAUAACUGGAACUUAGGACACAGAUCAGUCCAGAUGUUUGGGGAGUUUAUAGUUUCCAACAGCUGGUCCCCUUACCUACCAACAUUACACCAUCGACUUUGUAUACUUUUCAGAAUAUCUGAAAUAUCUCAUCAGCUGGAUUCCACAUGUUCUCUUCAGGGAUGUAACAUUACUCCAUGAAAACAAGUUAAAAGGUGAAAAGAAAGAUGAAGCUGAGAAAAAUAGACCAAGCUUCUGCUUAUGACAGCUGUACUUAAUUUGCCCGAGAAGAUAAGCAGGUAUUUUCCCUGUAGUCAACAGUGUUGCCUAUGCCCUUUUCACUUUCAGGGGUGACUGGUGAUCAGGCAGAUUAAUUCACCUUUACGAGCCUCAGGUCCAUCGUUGUAAAACAAAGUGACUGAAUGAAAUGGGCUCCAUGAGAUCUCUUCCAGGUCUGUCCUUCAACUUUGACUAGCCUUCCUGGGAGCACUGUGUUUAAAUCUCAUGGGAAUUGGCUUGACUUCUCUGUGGAGGUCAUCCAAACCUUAUUUCCACUUAGCUUGUCCUGUGACUUCUAGUUUUAAGUUGGCCUGGGAAUUUCUCCUCUAAAAUUUACAACUGGAUGAAAUAAAUCCAUCAAGGGCGGCUAAUUAGAAUGAAUAUCAUUGCCAGCACUAACUUAUGAAGGAAGUUCUGUGAGGAUAAAGGGAAAUGAUUCUCCCCAGACACAAGGAAAGUUCCACUGAUCUGGCACAAGGGUAGGGAUCAGGUGCCAGGAUGUGGGGCAGAGGGGUGAUUACUAGGUCAUUUUUCCCUGAGAAAGGCACGAUUCCAAAGAGGAUAGGGAUAAAAGAGGCCCUGUGUCCUUGUAUUUAGGAUGCAGUUAAACUUCAGCAGUCGGAUAUUUGCCUGGACCCCUAAAGGCAGGGCUUCCGCAGCCAGCGGCAAAGAGCCGUCAUCUUUACUUCCAGGGAUGUCACCCUUCCCAGGAAGCGUUGCCCACAUCACCAGCCUUUCUCAGGCUGAAUUUCUCCAAUGUGCUGAGCAGUGACUGUGCAGCCUCAGCAGAAUGCAACAAGACAAGUAUUGUCCUCCUAAAAGCAAGAUGGAACUGUAGGGUGAGUUUGGAUGGGUAUGUUAUCCCUUGAUGGUCUCUUUCUCUCUCUCUCUCUCUCUCUCCCCCAAUGCUCUUUUAAUUUAUUUUACUUUUUGAGAUUAAUUUCUCAAAAAUUUCAAAAUUUCAAAAAUUUCAAAAUAAUUCAUUUUUAUUCUUUUGUUUGUUGAUAAUUUUUUGGUUUUUAAAUAAAACAAAAAUGAUUUUUUAAUGAUAAAAAGCACAAUUCACAAAGAAGGUAGACAUCAUAAGCCAUUAGACACCCAACAACAAAGUAACGAAAUUACAUAAAGCAAAAAGAAGAAACAUAGGAAGAUAAAUAUAUAUAUAAUCAUAGUGAGACAUAUUAACAUUCCUCUGAGAAUAUUUUAUCAAGUACAGAAAAAAUAAGAAUAGG
ensembl:lncRNA